rnacentral:rRNA from 1 species
GACAGUGGGGGCAAACGAUGUUCGGAAUUACUGGGCGUAAAGCGUGUGUAGGCGGUCUCAUAAGUCGGGUGUGAAAGCCCCGGGCUCAACCCGGGAAGUGCACUCGAAACUGCGAGGCUAGAGUACUGGAGAGGUUGGUGGAAUUCUCGGUGAAGAGGUGAAAUUCGUAGAUAUCGAGAGGAACACCGGUGGCGAAGGCGGCCAACUGGACAGAUACUGACGCUGAGACACGAAAGCGUGGGGAGCAAACAGG